UACAAACUGGUUAUCAAGCCUGGUUCUUUGACUGAUCUGAUUUUUUUGAAAACAGGGCUUCAACUUGGGUUUGUAACAUUGUAACGAAGACCCCAAUCAACAAGGUAACAGCUGGUCUGCAAGCAUAAUUUUAAUAAGAAACUCCUUUCUGAUGCAUAAUUUUCCGAAAUAUUGAAAAUCCUUCUGGAUAUCAAAAUUUGUAUCUUUCAUGAUCUUUACAUGAAGAGCUCUCGCCCAAAUGUCCAACUCACUGCAGUCCUCGUAGGCCUAAUGCACCCUGGCCCUGAUAUGGUUCCCUGCUAGGCUGGGACAAGCCCAGUGCUGCUGCAGGCUGGCUGGAAACCUGUGUGCCUCCCUGAUGAAAGCACAGAGAUCAAGUAUACACUGAGGAAUUAUGUGGGGGUCCUCCUGAUCUCUGCAGCAUGAAUGUCCUGAGCAGUCCUGGUCCUGGAAGAACUGCAGUAGAUACAGAGAAGAGCAAUAAGGAUGAUCAAAGGAGUACCAAUAAUGCCAAAGAUGCUACACUAUAAACGAUCGAAUUUUACUGAGAAGCUCUGGAGCACGUCACAAAACAAAGAAAAGAAAACAUGGUGAGAUAGUCUUGUUGAUGGGAAGUUCCUUCACAGCACUGAUUAUUUCCUUUAGAAAAUCUGCUUUUUACAGAUGACUGGAAGCAUGAAUGACAGUGACAGGAAGCAUGUGGAAAAAUGAUGAGCUUAAGGCUUCCACAGACAUCUAAGGCUAUGGAAGUAACCAUACCAGACGAAAACCACAGAUCCUUCUGGCCCAGCUCCUCAUCUCUGACAGUAACCAAGAAUGAAUCCAAGGAAGUAUAUAUGAACACAGUAUAUGAAUCGGCACUUUUUUAGUGAGCUCAGACAGCCUACAGCAAUCCUUGGCACAGGAACUUCCUGAGAAAAAAUGUGACGUGCUUCCGUCUUACAGCAGAGUGCAAGCUGAGAGUUAUAACACGGAAAUUUUGUGACAUUAUAUGCAUAUAUGACCAACAAGAAGUAUUUUUCUGUGGAACCAUGCAAAACACAUGAUUUAUCUGAGUGAACCUACAUGAUUCUAAAAUUUAAAUAUCUUCCAGUCUUUGUACAUUUCAUAUUGUGUUUAAAAAUAGGAUUUAUUUUUAAGACAACGCCACUUUUCUUUAACUUAGUAGUAACACAAUUAGCAAAAUAAAUGAUUUUAAAAGAUAAAUGCUAAUUAAAGUGAAAUCUACUAUAGUUACUACAUUUGAAUUCUGUGUAUCUGACAAAAGAAAUAAAGUUUAAAUAACUUUAGUACCAG
ensembl:lncRNA